rnacentral:tRNA from 8 species
AUGUAGCCAAGUGGAUCAAGGCAGUGGAUU